GUGCAAUGAUACAUUGUCAAUAUAUUCUGAAGAAAAGUGUGUGGAGACUUCCUGUGACUGAGCACA
ensembl:snoRNA SNORD63 Small nucleolar RNA SNORD63